rnacentral:rRNA from 1 species
GUCGAGUGGCGAACGGGUGAGUAAGUGCAAUCGGAACGAUACCUACUAGAGGGGGAGUAGCCCGGCGAAAGACCGGAUUAAUACCGCAUAUACCUAGAGGGAGAAAGCAAGGGGACCGCAAGGCCUUGCGCUAGUAGAGUGGCCGAUGUUAGAUUAGGUAGUUGGUGGGGUAAAGGCCUACCAAGCCUGCGAUCUAUAGCUGGUCUGAGAGGACGAUCAGCCACACUGGGACUGAGACACGGCCCAG